rnacentral:scRNA from 1 species
CCUCACCCAGGGCCUCACCGCCAUCACCCUCU